rnacentral:rRNA from 1 species
AGCGAACGCUGGCGGCAGGCCUAACACAUGCAAGUCGAACGCGUGUAGCAAUACACGAGUGGCAGACGGGUGAGUAACACGUGGGAACGUGCCCUUCGGUUCGGAAUAACUCAGGGAAACUUGAGCUAAUACCGGAUACGCCCUUACGGGGAAAGAUUCAUCGCCGAAGGAUCGGCCCGCGUCUGAUUAGCUAGUUGGUGAGGUAACGGCUCACCAAGGCGACGAUCAGUAGCNGGUCUGAGAGGAUGAUCAGCCACACUGGGACUGAGACACGGCCCAGACUCCUACGGGAGGCAGCAGUGGGGAAUAUUGGACAAUGGGGGAAACCCUGAUCCAGCCAUGCCGCGUGAGUGAUGAAGGCCCUAGGGUUGUAAAGCUCUUUCGGCGGGGACGAUAAUGACGGUACCCGCAGAAGAAGCCCCCGGCUAACUUCGUGCCAGCCGCCGCAGUAAU